rnacentral:rRNA from 1 species
AGUGAACGCUGGCGGUAGGCCUAACACAUGCAAGUCGAACGGCAGCACAGUAAGAGCUUGCUCUUACGGGUGGCGAGUGGCGGACGGGUGAGGAAUACAUCGGAAUCUACCUUUUUGUGGGGGAUAACGUAGGGAAACUUACGCUAAUACCGCAUACGACCUACGGGUGAAAGCAGGGGAUCUUCGGACCUUGCGCGAUUGAAUGAGCCGAUGUCGGAUUAGCUAGUUGGCGGGGUAAAGGCCCACCAAGGCGACGAUCCGUAGCUGGUCUGAGAGGAUGAUCAGCCACACUGGAACUGAAACACGGUCCAGCCCCCUACGGGAGGCAGCAGUGGGGAAUUUUGGACAAGGGGCGCAAGCCUGAUCCAGCCAUACCGGGUGGGUGAAGAAGGCCUUCGGGUUGUAAAGCCCUUUUGUUGGGAAAGAAAAGCAGCAGGUUAAUACCCCGCUGUUCGGACGGGACCCAAAGAAUAAGCACCGGCUAACUUCGU